AUGUGGUGUUUUCUUCAAUAUGCAACUCCGUUGCAUAUUGAGCUCCACUUAAUUUGUAGUGUUGUUUGUUGCACUUUUCCAUGUCAUGCUUCAUUAAACCGGACAUGCAUCAUACUUGAUUGUGCAUCAUGCCAUGAUUAUGUGAUGGUUGUUUACUAUGUUGUUUGCUUUCUUUCCGGUGUACUUCUUCUCGGUAAUCCGGUAACGUCGUGUUGUGAGGAUUCGUUCGACUACGUCCGUUUGUCUUCUUCAUGGACUCGUUCUUCUUCCUUGCGGGAUUUCAGGUGCCGAGGAUACCGUGCAGAUGAUGCAACCAAGCUCAAGGAGGAGCUCGAUGAAGAUCUUGUCCUUUGUCUUGUUUCGAUCUAG
rnacentral:rRNA from 1 species